GGAUAAAAUAAGAGACAAGGCAUUGCUUCUCCCUUUUGCGAGAAUAUGAGGACAUUAUUUCGGAAAAUAGCAGAAAACCGAGACAAUUUGCACCAGCUCCGUAGAUCCAUCACUGCACCAGGCCAGCUGUCAAGAGUUUCAGGCUUAAAGAAUGAAUAAAUAAAAAAUGCAUCAUUUCUCCACAGGGCCUAGCUAUUUCCAAACGUUGGGCAAAUGGAUUCAUUCAGGCAGCAAGUUAAUCCAUCAUUUAAGGAAA